AUCAUGGCUCAGGAUGAACGCUAGCGGCAGGCUUAACACAUGCAAGUCGAGGGGUAUAGUAGCAAUACUAGAGACCGGCGCACGGGUGCGUAACGCGUAUGCAAUCUACCUUUCACAGAGGGAUAGCCCAGAGAAAUUUGGAUUAAUACCUCAUAGUAUAGUACCUUGGCAUCAAGGAAUUAUUAAAGUCACAACGGUGAAAGAUGAGCAUGCGUCCCAUUAGCUAGUUGGUAAGGUAACGGCUUACCAAGGCGACGAUGGGUAGGGGUCCUGAGAGGGAGAUCCCCCACACUGGUACUGAGACACGGACCAGACUCCUACGGGAGGCAGCAGUGAGGAAUAUUGGACAAUGGGCGCAAGCCUGAUCCAGCCAUGCCGCGUGCAGGAUGACGGUCCUAUGGAUUGUAAACUGCUUUUGUACAGGAAGAAACACUCCCUCGUGAGGGAGCUUGACGGUACUGUAAGAAUAAGGAUCGGCUAACUCCGUGCCAGCAGCCGCGGUAAUACGGAGGAUCCAAGCGUUAUCCGGAAUCAUUGGGUUUAAAGGGUCCGUAGGCGGCUUUAUAAGUCAGUGGUGAAAUCUCCCCGCUCAACGGGGAAACGGCCAUUGAUACUGUAAGGCUUGAAUUAUUAGGAAGUAACUAGAAUAUGUAGUGUAGCGGUGAAAUGCUUAGAGAUUACAUGGAAUACCAAUUGCGAAGGCAGGUUACUACUAAUGGAUUGACGCUGAUGGACGAAAGCGUGGGUAGCGAACAGGAUUAGAUACCCUGGUAGUCCACGCCGUAAACGAUGGAUACUAGCUGUUGGGUGCAAACUCAGUGGCUAAGCGAAAGUGAUAAGUAUCCCACCUGGGGAGUACGUUCGCAAGAAUGAAACUCAAAGGAAUUGACGGGGGCCCGCACAAGCGGUGGAGCAUGUGGUUUAAUUUCGAUGAUACGCGAGGAACCUUACCAAGGCUUAAAUGUAGAUUGACCGGUUUGGAAACAGAUCUUUCGCAAGACAAUUUACAAGGUGCUGCAUGGUUGUCGUCAGCUCGUGCCGUGAGGUGUCAGGUUAAGUCCUAUAACGAGCGCAACCCCUGUCGUUAGUUGCCAGCGAGUCAUGUCGGGAACUCUAACGAGACUGCCAGUGCAAACUGAGAGGAAGGUGGGGAUGACGUCAAAUCAUCACGGCCCUUACGCCUUGGGCUACACACGUGCUACAAUGGCCGGUACAGAGAGCAGCCACUGGGCGACCAGGAGCGAAUCUACAAAACCGGUCACAGUUCGGAUCGGAGUCUGCAACUCGACUCCGUGAAGCUGGAAUCGCUAGUAAUCGGAUAUCAGCCAUGAUCCGGUGAAUACGUUCCCGGGCCUUGUACACACCGCCCGUCAAGCCAUGGAAGCUGGGGGUGCCU
rnacentral:rRNA from 2 species